CCCCUAGUGGUGGUGUUGCAGGUGUGGCUUCGAUAGAUAUAGAUGUACAUGUAGAUGAGAGGAGAGAGGCUAUGUCUAUCGUCAAUGUCCUGAGCUAUGAACAUCUGAAGGAUCAUUGGCCUAACAUU